GCUCAUCUCAUCAGUGUCAGUGGAGGUCGUACCGUGGAAAAUACACGUCACUCCCAAAUUGACAGCAGACAUGAAGGUUGUGUGGUUUCUCCUUCUGCUUCUGAUCUCCCCCAUCAAGACCCAGGGGGAUGACACCAUGUUGCAAAAUACAACCGGCACUGGGAAUGAUUCAUCGACUGAAAUCCC